GCUUGUCUCAAAGAUUAAGCCAUGCAUGUCUAAGAUCGCUCGGAACCCGCAAGGGUUUAUCGGUAAUCUGCGAAAGGCUCAUUAUAACAGUUACAAACUUAGCCACUAGUUUAUCUUACAAGGAUAACACAGCCAACUGCAGCGAUAAUACUUGCUCAAAAGCCAAUGAAUUGUAUAAUUGGUGAGCAAUAGCAUUAAAGGAACGUAUGCUAUUUACCUCGAAAGAGGUGUUGACCGCAGCAAUGUGGCCUAGAGGAAGUAUUUCUUCCUUAUCAGUUAGUUGUUUCAGUAAGGGUGAAACAAGACACUUACGGGUACGGGGAAUCAGUGUUCGAUUCCGGAGAGGGAGCCUGAGAAAUGGCUACUACAUCUAAGGAAGGCAGCAGG
rnacentral:rRNA from 1 species